AUACGUAGGGGGCGAGCGUUGUCCGGAUUUAUUGGGCGUAAAGGGUGCGUAGGCGGCCUUGUAAGUCAGAUGUGAAAUCCCACAGCUCAACUGUGGGCUGCCAUUGGAAACUGGUAGACUUGAGUGCGGUAGAGGUAAGUGGAAUUCCAAGUGGAGCGGUGGAAUGCGUAGAUAUUUGGAGGAACACCAGUGGCGAAGGCGGCUUACUGGGCCGUUACUGACGCUGAGGCACGAAAGCGUGGGGAGCAAACAGGAUUAGAUACCCUGGUAGUCCACGCCGUAAACGAUGAGCACUAAGUGUCGGAUGAAUUUUCGGCGCUGCAGUUAACACAAUAAGUGCUCCGCCUGGGGAGUACGGUCGCAAGACUGAAACUUAAAGGAAUCGACGGGG
rnacentral:rRNA from 1 species